rnacentral:sRNA from 1 species
UUCCUCAAACUACGUGACUGCUAGGUGGUGGUUCAUUCAGAAUCGUGAUAGUACUAAGGACACGAACGAUCAGGUGAAACGUAAGUAGGCCGUAACCUUUGGUGAUGGUGGAAUGCAGCACAUGUCAGAGUCAGUAUUUGCGGUACUCUGUCAGAUAGUGGGGAACUCACAAAUAGUGCUCUUCAGGAGGGAGACAGAGGAUAUCAGGGAGAAAAUCAGUAAAGUGACAAAUAAAAAUAUGCGAAUGGUGAUGGUGAGUGGAAGUUGGAGAGAAGGAUUCAGAUUGAAGGGAUCCGAUAUUGACUUGAUGUUCUGGUCAAACAACCACCGGGUGAUAAUGGACAUGUCUCAGUCUGAGUAUUACAACACAGCCAAUACAGCCUUGAUACUCUCUGACAGUUCUGAGAGUCCACCAGGAUUUACUCUACUUCAGUUACUGACACCAACAAGAUAUAGAGACGUCCAGUCAGCAUGUGUCAUAAUGAAUGAGUCCAUAUAUCUAGUUCUAUAUACAGAGAGUUGACUUGUUCUGCAGCAAUGCCUAAUUCCACUUUACAUGGACCCUGUGGUAGCGGUGUAGUAGGAACAUUGGAAUAUGACACUGCCUACUGUUUUGUAUCUGACUUUUGGCCUCUCCGCUUCCUCAUUGAUAGAAAUAUGUCACUCAUGGCCUGUCCCUGAAAUUAUUAAUGACAUUGUCAGAAGUGGAUGUCACUUUGUAGCAAUAGUACAUCCAUGAGGACCCCAUGAGCAAGAAGAAUGGAGAGUUUCUUUUUCACAAGCAGAAUAUAAACUUGUGUCAUCAAUGAACUAUUGUCAGUGUUUGACAUGGAUUUUUGAAACUCUUUUAAAAAAAAGUUAUUAAUCAACAAUUAGAAGAAACCAAUAACCUGUUGUGUUCCUAUCACAUGAAGACAUCAUUUUCUGGGCAUUACAACAAAACACACUACCUCACUUGUGUCCACAAAACUUCCUGGCGGGUUUCUGGGUCUGCUUUAAACUCCUCCUUAAAUGGGUGUAUGAGGGGACCUGUCCUAACUUUUUUAUCCCACAAAACAACAUGUUUGUGUCGAAAGUCCAUGGCUCAGCACAAAACAGGUUGUUCAUACAGUUACAUGAAUUGUACAAAAAAGGUCUGGCCUGUCUGUUACAGAGUUCUUCUAUCAGGACCUACAUCAUUGAUGUCCUGUACAACCCCAGGCUUACUAUUUGUACCGAUGAGAAACUCAUCGCGCCUGAAAGUACUACUGAUACUGAAAUGUUCAAUUCGAUUGAUAAAAGAUUUGGCAUUCGAUGUCAUCAUGUUUGUAUAAAAUGCCUUGUCGCAGUACAACAUUUAAUAGCUUCACCCCUGACAGAGUACCAAAACAUCAAACUACAGAAAGUUACAGCCAACAUGUUUCAGCAGAUGGCUUUCAUUCUAAAGAACAUGCAAACUAAUACAAGUGGCAACAAAGAGAUAUAUGUUGCUGACAAAAAAUUUUGUUACAUUCUAAAACUAGCAGCUAAAUUUGGUUUUGUUUCUGACACUCAGAUACAUGGAAGCUUUAUCUGUUAUAGAGAUGACGAAAGUCAAAUUAGCACAGCCAUAUCUGAUGUAUAAGAAACGUGUAGACAGAGAGAGGUAUACUGAGGCUGUAGGGGGACAGUCGUGGUCCACAAAGAUGAGACAGGCUGUAGCGAAUGAUAUUAUACUUGACACCACAAUCUGUUAUAUCAGUGAACUUAUACCAGAACAACAGUCUGCUCUACAGAUAGGUUAUAAUGUAUUAUCCAUCCCAAUUUUGGCAAUGCUACACUUCUUAGAGUUCUUGUGUUACAGACACAUUGAUGCAACAUUAUCACUAGCAGCUCUAGAUGAGCUCCAACAUUCUCAGGGGCGGUAUGUAAAUAGGGGCGGACCCAUCUACUGGGAGAUCCUGGGUAUCUGUCAGCAGAUCACAGGGAAUCUCCAGGCUGCUCUAUACUCAUACCAACAGUCCCUCUCACUUUCACACUAUCCAUUCAACAGCAUACGAACCGCUACACAGAGAAGAAUACAAGAUGUAGUAGAGGCAAUAAAUGAGUUAUAUA